UACGGGGGGGGCAAGCGUUGUUCGGAAUUACUGGGCGUAAAGGGCUCGUAGGCGGCCAACUAAGUCGGAUGUGAAAUCCCCCAGCUUAACCUGGGAACUGCAUCCGAUACUGGAUGGCUUGAAUUCGGGAGAGGGAUGCAGAAUUCCAGGUGUAGCGGUGAAAUGCGUAGAUAUCUGGAGGAAUACCGGUGGCGAAGGCGGCAUCCUGGACCGAGAUUGACGCUGAUGAGCGAAAGCUAGGGGAGCAAACGGGG
rnacentral:rRNA from 1 species